AGCCGAGCGGUAUUUGUCCUUCGGGACGGAGAGAGCGGCGUACGGGUGCGGAACACGUGUGCAACCUGCCUUUAUCUGGGGGAUAGCCUUUCGAAAGGAAGAUUAAUACCCCAUAACAUAUGAUACGGCAUCGUAUUAUAUUGAAAACUCCGGUGGAUAGAGAUGGGCACGCGCAAGAUUAGAUAGUUGGUGAGGUAACGGCUCACCAAGUCAGUGAUCUUUAGGGGGCCUGAGAGGGUGAUCCCCCACACUGGUACUGAGACACGGACCAGACUCCUACGGGAGGCAGCAGUGAGGAAUAUUGGACAAUGGGUGAGAGCCUGAUCCAGCCAUCCCGCGUGAAGGACUAAGGCCCUAUGGGUUGUAAACUUCUUUUAUACUGGGAUAAACCUACUUACGUGUAAGUAGCUGAAGGUACAGUAUGAAUAAGCACCGGCUAACUCCGUGCCAGCAGCCGCGGUAAUACGGAGGGUGCAAGCGUUAUCCGGAUUUAUUGGGUUUAAAGGGUCCGUAGGCGGAUCCGUAAGUCAGUGGUGAAAUCUCAUAGCUUAACUAUGAAACUGCCAUUGAUACUGCGGGUCUUGAGUGAGAUUGAGGUAGCUGGAAUAAGUAGUGUAGCGGUGAAAUGCAUAGAUAUUACUUAGAACACCAAUUGCGAAGGCAGGUUACCAAGUCUUAACUGACGCUGAGGGACGAAAGCGU
rnacentral:rRNA from 1 species